rnacentral:rRNA from 1 species
CUACGGGGCGCUGCAGUGAGGAAUAUUGCACAAUGGGGGGAACCCUGAUGCAGCAACGCCGCGUGGAGGAUGACGCAUUUCGGUGUGUAAACUCCUUUUAUAUGUCAAGAAAAUGACGGUAGCAUAUGAAUAAGCACCGGCUAACUCCGUGCCAGCAGCCGCGGUAAUACGGAGGGUGCAAGCGUUACUCGGAAUCACUGGGCGUAAAGGACGCGUAGGCGGGUUGGAAAGUCAGGUGUGAAAUCCUACAGCUUAACUGUAGAACUGCACUUGAAACUUCUAAUCUAGAGUAUGGGAGGGGGAGAUGGAAUUAGUGGUGUAGGGGGAAAAUCCGUAGAUAUCACUAGGAAUACCUAAAGCGAAGGCGAUCUCCUGGAACAUUACUGACGCUAAGGCGUGAAAGCGUGGGGAACAAACAGGAUUAGAUACCCUCGUAGUC